rnacentral:rRNA from 1 species
GACGAACGCUGGCGGCGUGCCUAACACAUGCAAGUCGAACGAAAAGGCCCUGCUUUUGGGCGGUGCGCGAGUGGCGACCGGGUGAGUAACACGUGAGUAACCUGUCCCUGACUUAGGGAUAUCCUCAGGAAACUGGGGCUCUUACCCCAUAUGAGCUCCUGCUGCAUGUUGGGCGUUGGUAAGAUUCGGCGGUUGGGGAUGGACUCGCGGCUGAUGAGCUUGUUGGUUGGGUAGUGGCUUACCAAGGCUUUGAGGGGUAGCAGGCCUGAGAGGGGCACCGGCCACGAUAGGACGGAGAUACGGCCCAGACGCGAACGGGAGGCAACGGUGGAGAAUAGUGCACAAUGGGAGGAGGCCUGAUGCGGCCACGCCACGUGCGGGAAGACGUGAUUCGGGUUGUGAACCACUGUCGCCUGUGACGAGGCGUGAGUGACGGUAAUGGGUAAAGAAGCACCGGCUAACUACGUG